rnacentral:rRNA from 1 species
UACAGGGGUCUCAAGCGUUGUUCGGAUUCAUUGGGCGUAAAGGGUGUGUAGGUGGCGCGCUAAGUCGGGUGUGAAAUUCGGAGCUUAACUCCGAAACUGCAUUCGAUACUGGCGUGCUUGAGGACUGGAGAGGAGACUGGAAUUUACGGUGUAGCGGUGAAUGCGUAGAUAUCGUAAGGAAGACCAGUGGCGAAGGCGGGUCUCGUGGACAGUUCCUGACGCUGAGGCACGAAGGCCAGGGAGCAAACGGG